CCUGGCGGCACUAGCGCGGUGGACCCACCUGACCCCAUGCCGAACUCAGAAGUGAAACGCCGUAGCGCCGAUGGUAGUGUGGGGUCUCCCCAUGCGAGAGUAGGGAACUGCCAGGC
rnacentral:rRNA from 1 species